rnacentral:tRNA from 1 species
GUAGGUAUAGCUCAGGUGGUAGAGUGCAUGCUUAGCAUGCACAAGGUCCUGGGUUCAAUCCCCAUUACCGUCA